GACGAACGCUGGCGGCGUGCCUAAUACAUGCAAGUCGAACGCUUCUUUCCUCCCGAGUGCUUGCACUCAAUUGGAAAGAGGAGUGGCGGACGGGUGAGUAACACGUGGGUAACCUACCCAUCAGAGGGGGAUAACACUUGGAAACAGGUGCUAACACCGCAUAACAGUUUAUGCCGCAUGGCAUAAGAGUGAAAGGCGCUUUCGGGUGUCGCUGAUGGAUGGACCCGCGGUGCAUUAGCUAGUUGGUGAGGUAACGGCUCACCAAGGCCACGAUGCAUAGCCGACCUGAGAGGGUGAUCGGCCACACUGGGACUGAGACACGGCCCAGACUCCUACGGGAGGCAGCAGUAGGGAAUCUUCGGCAAUGGACGAAAGUCUGACCGAGCAACGCCGCGUGAGUGAAGAAGGUUUUCGGAUCGUAAAACUCUGUUGUUAGAGAAGAACAAGGACGUUAGUAACUGAACGUCCCCUGACGGUAUCUAACCAGAAAGACACGGCUAACUACGUG
rnacentral:rRNA from 1 species